CCCGAGCACUCGGGACGACAUGUGGAGUGCGGUCGACGGUAGAGCGCCUCCGAAUCGCAAG
rnacentral:ncRNA from 1 species